rnacentral:rRNA from 1 species
GGGAUUAACGCUGGCGGCGUGCCUAACACAUGCAAGUCGAACGAGGUAGCAAUACCUAGUGGCAGACGGGUGAGUAACACGUGGUCAACCUACCGCUGAGUGGGGGAUAACUAACCGAAAGGUUAGCUAAUACCGCAUACGUGUCCGAGGGGCAUCCCUUGGUCAUAAAAGGAGCAAUCCGCUCGGUGACGGGACCGCGUCCGAUUAGCUAGAUGGUGGGGUAACGGCCUACCAUGGCUCCGAUCGGUAGCUGGUUUGAGAGAGCGACCAGCCACACUGGGACUGAGAAACGGCCCAGACUCCUACGGGAGGCAGCAGUGAGGAAUUUUCCGCAAUUGGGCGAAAGCCUGACGGAGCGACGCCGCGUGUGGGAAGAAGGCCUUCGGGUCGUAAACCACUGUCGAAGGGGACGAUAAUGACGGUACCCUUGGAGGAAGCCCCGGCUAACUACGUGCCAGCAGCGGC